rnacentral:rRNA from 1 species
UACGUAGGGUGCGAGCGUUAAUCGGAAUUACGGGGCGUAAAGCGUGCGCAGGCGGUUCGUUAAGUCAGAUGUGAAAGCCCCGGGCUCAACCUGGGAACUGCAUUUGAAACUGGCGGGCUUGAGUAUGGCAGAGGGGGGUGGAAUUCCGCGUGUAGCAGUGAAAUGCGUAGAGAUGCGGAGGAACACCGAUGGCGAAGGCAGCCCCCUGGGCCAAUACUGACGCUCAGGCACGAAAGCGUGGGGAGCAAACAGG